UGGGAUAGUUCAUAGUUUAGUGCCCACCUACCCAACCACCGGGAACACCUCAUUCUCUUCUCACGCCGGCGCCGCGGCGUCUCGUCUCCUCCCACCGCAACCUUUCUUCUUUUGCUUAGCUUUCACUUACACUACCCCUCGCCGCGCCUCGCCGCGCGACGCGGCCCUUUCCCGCCACCAACCCCUCGCCGCGCCCGCCUCGCCUCCGGAGACCGCCGGAGGAUGGAAACCUCGCCCGCGCUGCGCCCCGCCCACAUCCCCAGAUCCACGGCCGUCCGCCCGCCGUGCGCCACCCCUUUCUCCCGCGCCCACUGGCACGCCACCUGCGCCGCCAUCCGCCGAGUCCCGCGGGUGAACGGCGACAGCAACAGUAGCAUCAAGCCCGCCCUCGCCGACCACGCCGCGCCGCCGCUCGACCUGGAUCUGCUCCCCGUCUCCAACCUCCCUCGCCCGCUCACCAUCACCGACCUCUCCCCCGCGCCCAUGCACGGCAGCCAGCUGCGCGUCGCCUACCAGGGUGUCCCGGGGGCAUACAGCGAGGCGGCGGCGGCGAAGGCCUACCCCUCCUGCGACGCCAUCCCCUGCGACCAGUUCGAGGUGGCCUUCCAGGCCGUCGAGCUCUGGAUCGCCGACCGCGCCGUCCUCCCCGUCGAGAACUCCCUCGGCGGCAGCAUCCACCGCAACUACGACCUCCUCCUCCGCCACCGCCUCCACAUCGUCGGCGAGGUCCAGCUCCCCGUCCACCACUGCCUCCUCGCGCUCCCGGGCGUCCGCAGGGACCUCCUCACCCGCGUCAUCUCCCACCCGCAGGCGCUCGCCCAGUGCGAGCUCACCCUCAACGCCAUGGGCCUCAACGUCGCCCGCGAGGCCUUCGACGACACCGCGGCCGCCGCCGAGCACGUCGCCGCCGCGGGGCUCCGCGACACCGCCGCCAUCGCGUCCUCCCGCGCCGCCGAGCUGUACGGGCUCCAGGUGCUCGCGGACGGCAUCCAGGACGACGCCGGGAACGUGACGCGGUUCGUGAUGCUGGCGCGGGAGCCCAUCAUCCCGCGAACGGACCGGCCAUUCAAGACGAGCAUCGUGUUCGCGCACGACAGGGAGGGCACGUCGGUGCUCUUCAAGGUGCUGUCGGCCUUCGCGUUCCGGGACAUCAGCCUCACCAAGAUCGAGAGCCGCCCACACCGCCACCGCCCCAUCCGGCUCGUCGACGACGCCAACGUGGGCACGGCCAAGCACUUCGAGUACAUGUUCUACAUCGACUUCCAGGCGUCCAUGGCGGAGGUCAGGGCGCAGAACGCGCUGUCGGAGAUACAGGAGUUCACCUCCUUCCUCCGGGUGCUCGGCAGCUACCCCAUGGACAUGACGCCAUGGGAGUAUUCCUCCUCAUCGUCACCAUCACCGGCGCCCGGCGGCGACACCAGCAGAUAAUGCUGAUCGAUCGACAAGACUGAUGCUCAAAUUCUGCUAUUAGAUGUCGCAGGAGCCGGGGAAAAGCUGCAGGCCAACAUCAGACUUGCAUCUGGGAUGACGAGGAUAUUAGCUAUUUUUUUGGGACCCUGGAUCCAAAGGAUCAACGGUGCAGAAGGCAUUCCACCCACAAUGAGAAUCGCUUUUAGUUUUUGCCGUGAGCAUAUGUGGUCAAUUAAAACUUGUGCUGACACUCCGUUUCUCUUGCUGGGAUGCGGUGCCUUCAGUCUUCGGAGGCGGCUCAAACUUUCUAUGGCUGCGAUGCGGUGCCUUCAACUUCAAUCUUCGGAGGCGUCUGAAACUUUCUAUGACUGGGAUGCGUGGGAAGCGUUGCCUUCACUCUGAAGAGGCAUCUGAAACUCUUUGUAUGCCACGCUAGUUAUUACAACCAAUGAGAAGUUGCUACUUGGAGCGUGGAGGCGAGAGAGCUAGAUCUCACGUGAAGGUGACGACAGUGGUGACGGAGCCGGAGCUCGCACGAAGGAGGGGGCAAUGGUGGCGGAGCUGGAGCUUGCAUGAAGGCGGUGAUGAGCUCGUCGUCGUCUCCUAGCAUGACACACGGACAACAGCUGCGAAGAAGCCGCCACCACCUUCUCAGCCUAGACUGUCGUUGUCGCAUCUCGCACUCGUGCUGGCAUCUCGCUCUUGAGAAAGCCGCAAAUCUCAUCUCCUCCUCGGCCUCCGCCGCAAGGAGCCUGCAGAUCUCAAACUCAAGGAGGCAGCCGCUGUCACGCUUCUCUUCCUCGGCCUACACCUCGACGAGACGGUACGUAGGAUGCUAUCGGGGCUCCUUCUGUGUGGGCAAGCAGCACCGCGGCAGUGUGUUUGCUGUGAGGAGGACGAGGCCUGAUAGGGCCAGCCACUAACGUCGUCGCAAGCUUCAGCUAUGGCAGGGAGGGGGAGAGAGAGAAAAAGAUAGAGAAAGGGGAAAGGGAAAAGUAUGAUAGGUGGGGCCCACCUAUCUUUUAGAAAAAAAAUGCUGACUGCAAUGCCACAUAGGGCCAAAAUUAUUCCGGAUAUUGAAUAUGGACAAGGAUGGGUUAUUUGUCCGUUUUAAAUAGUUGAGGGUGAAAAAUGUCUGGUAUUCGUGUUCAGGGGGCUGACCAUGAUAGUUUAGGGGUAAUCUAGAUUUUUUUUUCAUUAGAAAAAAUGCAUGGCAAAGUGCUUGACAAUGGUAAAUUUUCUCUUUUUUC